GAUGAAGAACGCAGCGAAAUGCGAUAAUUAAUGUGAAUUGCAGAAUUCCGUGAAUCAUCGAGUCUUUGAACGCACAUUGCGCCUCAUGGCAUUCCGUGAGGCAUGCCCAUCUCAGCGUUAGAAAAUAUUCUCAAAUUUUAGUUUUGUGCUAAAAUUUGGAUCAUGUCAAGGAAGCUAUUACUAUUAUUGUGAUCGCUCUUUGGAAAUUGAUAGGUCUUUGAGUUGCUACUCAUAGAACGUGAUGAAUCUUUCUUCGUUCUAUUGUAAUUCACUCUGGUAGUCCUAAAACUUGUAUGCCUGUGCAUAUCUUGUAAUUUGACCUGAGAUUGGGUAGGGAUACCCGCUGAACUUAAGCAUAUCAAUAAGCGGAGGA
rnacentral:misc_RNA from 1 species